rnacentral:tRNA from 1 species
UUUGUUUGAUGGCUGAGAGUUAAGCGGUAGACUGUAGAUCUAUUAACGGAGUUAAGUCUCCUCAACAAAA